ACAAACGUAUUGUAUUUUAGACACAUUACAACCAGGAGAACAAACUGGAAGCUCUAUAGGUAUGUUCUGACCAUUAAAAUAUCUGGACAGUGUUAAAAAAAAAAUCAGGAGUUUAACAUAAAGCUAGUUUUCCGCCUUGCCCUGAAAACCUGGAUGAUCUGGACUCUUUGGGUCUCUGUUCCCAGAUGGUCCCCAGCAGGCAGAGCCAGGAGGGUGGCCCAUCAGGAGUGGCACGGUCCUUCCACUGGGCACAUCCCCUCCCCAGGCCACUGUACUCCUUCAUUACCUGCAUGGCCCCUGAAGACACUGGAGUUGAUGACUUCCUGGAGUGGAUAAAAUGGGCUUUUGUGAGCUAGCCUGGGAACCAAGCAGUAUGUUUGAUAUUAUUUCAUUGCAAAAGUGGAUCUCAGCUUUUAAAGUAAGCAGAUGUUUUAAAUAUCAGCAAUGCAAAUUUGGGAAUACUUAGCCUCAGCUGGAAUGUGUGUGUUCUCCAUGAUGGACUGUUUCUGAUGCUUUUCCUGUGCUGUAUCUUGGCUUAGCACUUAGUAGGUACUUAAUAAAUGAUUUACCUCAGGUGGUAACCAAGCGCCUGUUGUCCACCAGCUCCCAGGGAGUGAACAGAAAUGCCAUCUUGCUGUGGACUGGGCCUGUCAGUUCCACCUGAGACCAGAUCGCUGCCAGAUUUAUCUAGAACAUCCACUCUAGCUCUAGAUAACAGAGAUUGGAAUGUGUCCUCUGCACAGCUUCCCUGUCUGGAGAGCGAGGUAAAGACCUAGACCCCGUCGAGUUGGCCCUAAAGAGGAAACAGGACAGGGAGGCCGGCAUGAAGCCGGCAUGAAGACUGCUUUUCUGGCUGUUGCCUGCCGAACUGGAGUUUGUGGCCGGUACACAGUGCUUGCAUUCCACACCCUGAACAAGGGCGGGUCAAAGUUCAGCUCAUUCCCCUUUAAAGAAAAAAAUUCUUUGUCUUUGGCAUUUCGAAGUUUUGACCCAGAUCAGUCGGAGGCCACGGAAUGCUCAUGAAGUCUGGAGAGUUUGUUUAGUUCCUGAGUCCGGUAGCUGCCGAGGAGCCAAAGAGAGCCGGCAACCUGUUGGGCUUGAGCUGAAGCCUUGCCUUUUCAAGUUUGUGCUGGCCUGGCCUCCCCAAGCCUCUGAGGAGGACUCAGGAGAGUGCAGCUUGCUCUGUGAGUGGGUGACAACCUCUUGGCGACUCAGGCUCAGCUGAGGAUGGUGCCAGUGUGCCGGAGACAGCCGUCAUACUGCCGGAUAGAGUGGCUCACUUGCAUGUAUUUGGAACAAAAAAAGGAGAUGCCUGGCAGCCCCGCUCUCUGCAGUAAGUAUUCAUCUGCAUUCUUUUACAUUCCUUUAUUUCUUCGAACAUCAGAAAUGGGUAGAUGUUUAUUGAGCCCAGCCACCUGCUAUGCCUUCUCCAUUCUUCUCCCACACACCCCACCCUUAGUCCUCCAGAAGAGAGGACUAGAUUGAUUUUCUCAUGCUACUGGAUAGCUGCAGAGAAGCUAGAAUUUGCUGUUCAGCCCCCACACAUCCCCCUCACAUUUGGGAGAAGUUGAUUUUCCCUAAAAUGGAGCCAACAGCCUGUGUCCCUCAGUGUGGAGUGUUAAUGGGCUGCCUGGAAGGACCCUGUGUGCCCUCACGGCCCCCAGCCGGGAAGUGAGGCUCCCCAUUGGCUGGCAGUGGGAGGAUGGUCCUUGCCAGCACCUAGCAUGGUUCUCUGCCAAGUUCUAGCUCCACAUCUCCAGGCUGGUAGGAACCUAGACUAUAUAUAGCAUUGUGCUAAGCAAUUCUUAUCAGACGUGUCUGCCCUCCCCUGUGGGAGUGGAGCACUUCUAUCAGAGAACCAGAACCUAGAGAGCAUGAGCCAUCUCCAAGGGCCUUUUAUUCUGGGAAGGGGUGUGUGUGUGUGUGUGUGUGUGUGUGUGUGUGUGUGUGUGUGUGUCUGUCUGUCUGGUUCAGGGCUGCUUACUUUCCUCCUGUAUUGCAGAUGCUGAUAGAUUGAAAGGUCGUGCUAGAUGAAGGUGCUGAUGUGGGAUGAGGGCCAGGAAGGGCUAAUAGCUCUGCGAUGGAUAUUGAGCUUAGAGGGAGAGAAGCUAGGGGCAUGUGACAUGGCUGAGGGUACAGUUGAGCCCUGCCUCCGCUUUCUCUUCCUGGUUUCCUGUUUGCCAUGCUUUGCCUAAGGAUGUCUUUUGACCUCUCUCUUCCUUCUUUCGGACCUCUUGCAUUCCCUGCCUUCCUCCACCACUUCCUCCUCCCUUUGAUUUUCUUUAGGAUAUAUGAGGGCAAACACAGUGACUGGCAUCCUGGGUCUGUGUCUACUCUUCAUCCUUACCCAUUUGGGGUUUCUGGAGAUCUGGCUCCAGUUGGGCAGAGAGGGCUCAGCUGUCCUCUGGAGGAGUUUUGGUGGUGGGUGAGCAUGUUGUGUUGGCUGGUUCAGGGCAGGGUGGGUUGGAUAUUCCCCUCUUUCCUCUCAUAGGUGCUGUUGAGCCACCAAUUUUUGUGGUUUUGUGACCACAAGUGCUGACUGAUGCGACAUGACCCCAGUCUUGUCAGUGAAUCAUCACCAGGCUGCUUACUGGAAACUGGAUGCAGCAAGGAAAUAGGAUUUAACCGCUCUCUGCCUCCCAGGUAAGUCCAGUGUGGGCUGCUCCCUCCAGCCUUCCCCCAUCCUCCUUCCUUCCCACGAACACCAUUUUCCUUAUUCCGCCGGGGAAUCCUCAGACGUCUCCAUUCAGAAUCUCCCAAACGAUUGUUCUCUUUUUUGCAUUCUUCUCCUUCUGGCUUUUCUGUGUGGGGUUAGUAACCAGCACAGGGUUGGGGGCAGAAUGGGCAGCUGAAGUGGUCGGGCUGUGCGGACGUGUGGGAGAUAGCUGGGUAGUGUUGCUGGGUGUGGCAGUUGGCAGAGCAUUUGGGCCUCCCACAGUAAUAGAAACUCUCUUUGGCUCCAGCAUCCAGCAGGAGGUUCUGGGUUUAACCCCUCGGUAAUCCUGGGAGCCUUCCUGGUGCCUGGGGAUUCUCUCCCCUGUGUAGUCUCAGUGGAUGGCCUGUCUUAACUCUAGAUACAUUUUGCCUUGAGGGGGCUUAGUCUAGGUUGGUGGUCUGGAGUUUGGACUGGGCUGAGCAGUGAGCUUUGGGACUCUCCCUAAUUUUGGGGUUUCUUUGAAUGAGCCACUUUCUUCCUCUAGGCCUUCAUUACCUUUGCCUUAAAAAACAAAAUCCCUGGUCCAGUAAGCCAUUGCAAAGCAUCUCUAGGAAGUUGACAAAGAAAUGCUUUUCUUCUGCCUCACUUGCUGCCGAUCACAGUAAUAGCAAUGGUGAUUAAAAAUGAAAAAUGAUGACGGCCUGCAGAAUCAGGGAGGUCAGUGGCAUCAUUGAUACAAUUCACAAAGCAGACUCUCGGUGCCCACACAUCACUAGGAAGUCUCUCUCCUAUCGAGUAGAUGACUACAGCAUUCUUGGCCAGUAAAGCCAGUUGGAAUUAGCCAACAGCAGAUUGGUCUGGGCUCUAAAGAUAAAAGGAAUUAUGUUGGGUAAUUUUCGGAGGUACCUAUGGGAUCCUACCUCUGGCCACACAGUGGUCGCCUCUCUCUGCUCAUAUGUUUCGGUGGGGGUGGGGGGUUCCUCUUCCCCAUGCUGCUCCCGUUGCUAUCCAGGGAAGAUUGGCCAAUUCUGCUUCCUGUUAUUUCUUCUUCUCCUCUGUCCAUUUGAGGUGAGUCUCUAGGUUGGCUGUGAACAGCCUGAGGAACCCAGGGCUGUUUGGAAGAAUCUGAUGUCUCUUCCUUCAAGGACCCUGACAGGUCUCAGCCCUCCAGCAGUACUGCAGUGAGGGAUGGCAGGGGGUGUUGGAGUGGAGAGAUAUCGACUUGGGUGCAGCUGGGGAGACUAAAAGGAGUGAGCCAAGUCCCUCAAGAAGUGUUGGCUAGAGUCUGGCCAGCCCUGGCUGUAGGGCUGGAGCCAGACGUAGCUGCUGGCUGUGCUUGGGAGUCUCAGCCCUCAUAUGUGCAGUGUGUCCCUGGGCAUGGCUCUUCGUGAUCCCCACUCCCACGAAUAGCCCUGUCCUUGGUUAGAUUGGGAAAACCAGGGUGGGAAGUAAAGGGGAGGUUGGUUUUGCUCGUGGUCAUGCAGUUAUCUCUCUGGCCUCUGAUGUUUCCAGAAUUGGGAUUGGUGCUUCCCUGCUGAUUUUCCUAUUUUUGUCCCUCAUCUGGUUCUUUUCCUCCUUGCUCACCAGCCUGGGUUCUACACACAUGACAUGGGGCAUUGUGUGUUCCCAAUGAGGAUAGCAGAACAGUUGGUAUCUCCUGAGAGAGGGGCCAGCAUAUCUGGCACUUUUUUCUUGACCUUUGAAUUUCUGAGGUCUGGGAGUCAGGAGGCAGCAUGGGGCCUCUCCAUCCGGGAUCCAGCAGAGGUUAACAGAGUUGGUGGCUCUGGAGCUGAGGUGGUGUGGCUUGGCUGGGAGUUGUGGGGGAGAGGCCCUGCCAGGGGCCCUGAUUGGUCAGUACCUUCUCUAUUCCAUUGAAUCCUGGUCCGGUCAGCUCUGUGAAUUGUUUAAUGCAUAUCUUGGCUCUGUCCCCUGGCUCGAGUGUCCCUAAGGCUGCAGCCACAGCUUUAGAGAGGAUCUGUACCUUGUGCUGGUCACUUUUUUUGGGCGUGUUACCUCCCUCUGAGAUAUGUAAGAGAUACCACCCUUUCCCACCAGCCGGCUGUCUGUGGGAGGCCCUCAUUUUGCUUUGCUUUUCUGAGACUUGGAGUGACUGUGAGGAAAGCAUGGACUGAGUUUGCUUUCUUGCUGGUUCCUUCCACAAGAGCUGCUCAUGGGCUGAUAAAGCCAGAGAACACCUCCAGGGCCCCAUGGCCUGUGCGGAGCCUGGUACCAUAGUGUCAAGCCUACAGGGAUGGACUGGGGACAUGGGGGCAGAUAGAGCCACGUGGGGAGGUGGUAUGUGUGGUUAGAUCACAGGAGCAAGUCCAGGAGGGUGUGGGAGGACAAGUCCAGUGCUCAGCCAGGGCUGCCUGUCAUGGCCCAGGAUGGAUGUGUGCAUCUCCUGUGAAGGAUUUGCGUCUGAGUGCCUGGUACUGAAGGUAGGAUGGUGCCCCGAUCAGGGUCUAUAAUGAGGCAUGAAGGUAUGAGAUGGGCAUCAGAGUUGUUGGUCCAAGGGAAACUGACCUUUUUAAAGGGCUCUCCUCUCCUUAUCUGAUUUCAUCCUCAGAACAACCAUAUGACAUAGGGAUCACUUCCCUUUUAUAGUUAAAGAAACAGAUUAAGUGACUUAACCCAAGGUUAUGCAUUUGGUAAGUGAGGUUGUUGAGAUUUAAAUGCAUGCACUUCUUAUUCCAAAGCCUCUACGUUAUCUUUACUCUUUUGGGCUGAAGUCAGACAUUUUUGUGAACUAAGAUUCUCAGAGGACUGAUGUGAACCAGAGUGAAAAGGCAGACACCCGAAGGAACUUUCCAGUCACUGGGGACGGUUGUGCCGCAUUCCUUUAGGGGGAGGCAGGGCAGACCCAAAUGCCCUUUGGUAGCCAUGGACAGGCAGAGCUGAGUAAGGCCAGUACAUGGCGUCUGCUGCUGUGUACGGAGCCUCUGCUAUGUGCCAGGGACUGUGCCAGGCGCUAGAGAUACAGAACUUGACAAAGCCAACUUUCCACUUUCAUGGGGCAUACAUUCUAGUGUGGAGAGACACCGCUAAUAAUGAUUUUUAAAAAGAAUUUAAAAAUGUACAGGGUAGACAUAUAUGGAGAUUGUGUGGGGAUGAAAAGGGGGACCCCCCACACACAUAAGGAGGAGAAUUCAGAUGAUGGUCAGAGGGUUCUAGAGACUUAGGACCUCAGCCAUCUGAAGCCACAUCAAUUGAGCUUUCCUUCAGGGAGUUAGGACUGACACAAACUAACCCCCUCUUUUUUCCUAAUAACUUGGGAAAUCCAUCCAAGGUCCCCAUGGCUUACAGGAACUUGUCGUGAGUCAGGGAUCAAGGUGGAGUAGAUGUCAAGCCUUUGGUCUCCGGCAGACUGGUUCUCUCCUGUCUGCCAUGGUUGCUGUUGGCCUUCUGCCUCACACCCUCCCAGGCACCAGCUGACUUCUUUCCUCAGCCUGGUCACUGUGCCCCACACUUGUCCAUGCAGCACAGGGAAACGUGCAGGUUAGGUCUUUGCCGAGCCAUUGGUCAAAUGUUCCUGCAGGAGGCUGGUUCUGAACUCAGCCUGUCCUGCCAGAACGAGCCGUUCCCAGAGCUAAUCGUCUCACGAUAGGGAAGGGAUGGGCACCAGGCAUAGAGAAGUGACCUGUGCCAGAUGCUUGGUUGAGCUGUGUCUUGAGAGGCGGAGGCAGGUUGGUGGUGCUGGGGACAGGGCAGGCAUGUGUCAUGUGUUCAGCGCAUGUAGCUCCAGGGCUCGGGACUUGUUUACUUGGUGGAAGAGGCAGCGGACCUGCGGAGUCAGGCCAUGUGAUUGUUGGCUCUUUGGCUGAUCAUGGACAGCUGACCCGCCGGACUGCACACACUGCCAUCUGCUGCCAGGGGUCUGAAGUUGCACAGGGAUGAGGUAGUGUAGUUGGGGGUGCUCAGGGAGGAGGAGGUUUUUAAAGACCUCCCAGAAGUGGAAGCAGAGGGCUGGAGGUUUCGUGAAGGUGUUGAUGAGGAUCCACCGGGUGGUAGGGGACAUGGCUACGCGCUUCCCCCGGGAGGCUUGUUGGAGAUGGGUUUAUGUGGGAGCUGCUGGGGGUGCCUGCUGUCCUGCAAGGGGCUGACCCAAGGGACCCUGCUCUAGGAAAGAUGCUCCGUCCUGUCUGGCCCUAAACCCUGGAGAGAGAAUGCAGCUGUGGUUUGAGGGAGGGUCUGUGCCCCUUGCUGUCAGGAAGUUUUCCUUUAUAUUUAGCCUUCUCUUUUCAUGUAUUUUUUGAGGCCCUCGACUAAAAAAUUAAAUUUAAUUUUAAAAAAUAACAAUGAAAAAAAUAAAAAAUAAACAAAAAUAUCUCAGAGCCACUGGUUCCAUUUUGGCUUUUUAGUCUUGAGUCACUCUUAAAAAGAUAGCAAAAUAAAACACAUGCAGGAAAGCCGAAGGUCCCAGGCCCAGCCAGAUGGGGGCUAGGAGUGGCUGGGACUCUGGCCUAGCUUCUCCAUGGCAGCGUUAGUCCCAGACGUACACCACUUCUGCAAGGCUGUGUGGGUAGGAGCCCCUGGGGCUGAGGGGGCACAUUGUGCAAUCUGCUAAGCAGAAUGUAGAGUUUUAAAAUAGCUACCUUUCUCCAAGACACUAUCUGCUUGCCGCUUUGUGGGAUGUUUACCUGGGAUUAAUAAUAGCUGAGUGCCACCCCACUGCCAGUAUGGAAUAGCAAACAGCGAUCUGGGCUAGGACUCAGGCAGGAGAGGAAUGGAGUAAUAACCAUCGUAUCAGCUCACAUAGUUCUUUUCAUACUUGCUGGCUCAUUUGGUCCUCACACAACCCUGAGAGGGUAGGUGGUCUUAUCCUUGUCGUUGGUAAAACUGAACCUGAGAGUCAAUCCUGCCAAGAUCUGACUGCUUGUAGCCGCUUCUCGUGGGUCUCCCAUCUAGGUCCUCUGACUUCAGCUGUUAUUUCUCUGGGUUCUGACUAGUGGGGCAGGGACAGGAGUAGGGGAGUGGAGUCUUUGGCAGUUUCCUUAAUUUCUGAAGGCCUUAGAGGGCCUAGAGAUGCCUUUUCUAUGUGUUGAAUGGGAAACGGAACCUCAGCAUGUCCAGGUUCUCCAACUCUCUGAUUCUUCAGACUUCUUGGAGCUCUUGUGAGAACUGGCUUGCACUUUUUGGCUGGGAAGCCAGCCACUCACCAUGUGUUCUUGGAGAGGUUUCCUGUAUUUGGAAGCUUCUGGAAUAUGUGAUGCAUCAAACCACUGUGACACAUCUGUAUGGCACCUCAUGCCUAUGCACACAGGCAUGCUUCUGCUGAGUGCAGCUCACUUAGAGAUGAGGCCCAGUGUAGGGUUUUUGAAAUUUUUCCAACACAUUUGUAAGAGAUGCCCUGAGCCUUGCCCAGCAUGCAUGUUGUGUGUAUGCUACCUGUUUGCUGGCUAAUGUACAGCGCCUGCUGGAAGCCUUGGCUAAUGUACAAUGUAAAGUAAGGGACUAGAAACACUGGCUUUAGUUCUGAGUGUCUGCUUCAUGAUUGACUUGAAAAAGUAGGGCUUACCCACAGAGAGAAAGGUGGGUAAGAGAACUCGUGGGUGUCAGUUUUCCUUAAAGGCAGAGCAUAAUCCCCCACUCUUUAUAAGGGCUGGUAAGGCAGAGUAUUGGACAGCAGGACUUCUUGGCCAGUUAGCCCUCUUGAGUGACCUUUGUUUAAAUAGACCCAGAACUUGUAUGAAGGAGGAAAUAAUGGUUUAUCUUUAUUUACAGCGGAUUUAGCCAUGAUGGUUUAGGCUUUUUCUGGGGGUAUUCCUUUAGGACAGUUGAGGUUGGACAGGGGCAGCAUGCAUAUGUGUCUCUAAAUGUCUGUCCUUUGGUAUUUCCUGAAUGCAUCCUUGGCUCAUACUGAAACCCUGUGAUGGGGAAUCCACAGCGGAAUUGUUUUAGUGGAUAAAGCCUUCUGUAGCUUCAUGUGUGAAGAUUUGUCAUGUUGGAUCCAGUUCAUUCUGUCCACUUGAAGGAUGGAAAAGAGAGUGGGCAGAACUUGCAGCAAGGAGAGUGAUUUGGGCUAGACUUCUGGGAGAACUGUGCAUCACCUCUGCUGAGGGUUCCUGAGGAAAGAUGAAGCCUCUUUAUUUGAGGUAGGAGACUCGGUGUCCUCCACAGGAUCCUCCCAGUCCCAAGUCUGUGGCACUUUGAGACAGUCCCUGGAACAGCAUGAGGUUUGGGUGCCAGGAUCUAGAGCAGGCAUUUCUCUCCAUCUUUCCCAUCUGUCUUCAAGACAGGCCCAAGCUGGAUGCAAUUGAGGGGAUGCAUGGGCAGGGUACACCAAUGUGGUCAUCGAAUCUGGAACUUUGACCUUGUUUCCCUUUGCAGAGAGAACUUCUGGCACUGAUCUUAUAGGAACUGGUGUUAUUUGCAUAUAAAAAAAGAGAAAGGCAUGUUGUCCCUCAUCUUUUCCAGGAAAGAGUGCUGAGCUGCUCUAAUCCUAUGGUGGGGAGGGAGGAGGGCCGUGUAGAGGACGCAAGGCCAGACAUGGUUUGCUGGGAAGAAGGUAGGAGGUGGGAGAGGAACAUCCCAGGGCAGGCCCACAACUCUGGGAGCCACAGACAUUGCCUGCUAUACUAAAGGCAAAGGGAUGUGUUCAAAUAGGCCUACUAUUUAGCGGUAACCCACAGUCUGAAAUAAAUCAGUUAAUGGCUAAAUGAGAGUUGUAUUAAAUAUGGAAAAUCAUAUUUUUUGUGUGUCAUCACCACCUACAGAUUUAGCAUCAACAGGCCUGAAAGGCUGAGGAUGCUGAAAUGGGCCCUGUCCGUAAGAUCAUGCUUAUUUUAUAAUGACUUUUUGUCUCUUUUCAUUACUAUUUCCCACUCUUAUUCCUUAGGUCUACGUGAAUAUUUAUUUAUGCAGUUGUGUUAUUUCCUUGGGGUACAGUUCUUCCAGUGUCAUUGGCAUCAAUGAAUAUGUGACUUUGAUUUCAAGUGUAAACAAACCACUGGUUCACGGCAGGGACAAGCCAUCUCUGAGACAAGGGCUCCAGCAGCUGCCUACAGAUGCCCUUCCCCCAAUAGCCCUGGACUGUUUCGGCCAGACGCCUGAGACGAGAGUCAAGGGUGUUCUUGCAGGGACCUGCCCAACGCUAUGUCAUGUGUCCUGCCUGGAGGGUGGUGCUCACACAUGCAUCUUCCAGCCUUAUUAGCUGGUACUGCUUUUCAGCUUGACCCGAGGAGUGGUAUUGGAAGUUUGAGACCGUACAUCCCUUGCUAGGUGAGAAGGGGGUCAGAGAGGUCAGGCACAGACAGAGAAGGGAACGCAGGCUCCUGGCCACUAGCCUCUCUCAAGACAGGUGAACUUUGUGUUAAGCGAACUCAUUUAAUAUUUUGGGCCUAAUAGAAGUUAUUUGUAUUUUCUCUCCUCUCUUUUCCCUCCUCUCUCUCACUCACCCUCCCCCCACUCCCCAGCCUCCAAAGAAUUUAAUCUGCUGGACAACAAACAAUACUGUUAUAAAACUUUGAAAACAAGAGGGCGCGGCCUCCCUGACAAGGAGAAGGGCAUGUUGGGUAACGGCCUGAGGGAGCGUGCCAGGCCUGAGAUGGAGCCGGGCGAGAGCCCAGUUGGCUGGGUACCUGGGCGCCUGCCCCUGCAUAGCCCACUAGCCGCGCCAUCCCCAGGCCAGAGGGGAAGGAACCAAAACAAAAUGGGGGGCAGAGAAACGCUUGAAAAGGGAAGUUGCACAUGUUCCCCUCUCUCUGAUCUGAUGGGAAUGCACUAGACUGUGAAACUUCCUCCUCCACCUCUUCUCCCGAGUCCCUCCCUCCCUCUUACCCUCCUUCCUCCUCUCUCCUCCCUCCUUUCUCCUCCUUCCUCCUCCUGCUACUCACUGUUCUUGAGUCUGGCAGACAGAGGUCCUGAUAGCAGAAUGAGGCUGGAAUAGCACCAUAGGUGCAGCUACCAGCUGGGCCAGCCAAAGAGGAAGGAGAGAAAGUGGGCUUGCAGUUGGCUUUGGAUUCAAAUCUACCCUCUGUCUGGCCCAGCCUCCCUCCAUUCUAUUAGGGAAGUGGAACUACAUCACGCCACAGGGUGUGCCCAGUCCAUGUGUGUGGACCAGGUGUGUGCCCAGGUACUGGGGAGAACUGCCACUCAGAGAUUAGUUCAGGAAGCACCCUGGGCUUCCUGGUGCCCCCCUUGGGCUGUGCUCUGCUCUGGGGAGAGUGUUUGACUUGUUGAAAUGCUCUCUCCUUUGAGAUGCUGUGCUCUCCCUCCAGGGAGGAGCAGAGGCUGUGCUGCAAGAGGCUGGGGCAUGUCUCUGGAGGAGCUCUUGGGAACAGGAACGUGCUUCUCCCAGCGAGAGCAGCCAUGCCGUCUUGUGAGUGUGGUGCCUGGUAGGAUACUGCAUCUGUUAGUUACUUCCCAGUGGCUGAAGGAAGUGGUCACCAGCUCUGCCUGGGGGAGGUGGGGGAGCUGGGCUUUGGGGCGUCUCCCUCCCUACCUCCAGAGUUAGGUUUCACCUGAGACUGUGGUUUCACUUUUGACUCCAUCUUCACUGAGUCAAGCAGAUGAUUUAGGAAUGACCAGGGAGCAGCAUUGGUGGUUUGCCUUUGGAUCUGCAUUGGUUUGGACCCAUGAACUCUGUGGUGGGCAUUGUGUUUGUGUAAUAGACCAUUGGUAUGCUCAUUUUUCCUCUUGCAGAAAGCACUAGCUUUCUUGAAAGCAGUUCAGGGACAUGCCCAUCCUUCUGUGCCAGAGCUGAGCCCUUCUACUGGGGGAACAUGGAGACACGCGAGCUCCAGUCUUCAUUCCACUCCUCCUCCUUCCCUUUGCCCUCCACUGUCUCCUGCUGUCCCCCCAGCUCAUCCCAGGGGCAGGGUAACCUUGGUGCAUCCUCCCAUCCAGCCAGCAGUCCCGACCCAGGGCCCCCGUGCCUGGACUGAGUCUGGGGUUUAUGUCAGUAGUGUUAAGGGAGGGAUGGAAAACUGAACUUUUAGGAGUGCAGCUGCCUAGGAACAUAGACCUCCAUACCUCUGACGCAGGGGAAACCAGAAAAACCGAUGCUGGGUCCACGUAGGCUUGGAAGGCUGUUACUUUUUGCCUUCUUACCUGAAUAGGAAUUUGAGGGGCACUGUGGGUUUGGAGGAUGUGAUUCCCACACUGGGGCUCAGGGCCUGGGAAAUGCAGUGGUCCCUGGGUUCUGAGUCCUCCUUUGAAGGCCACCCUGCCAGAAAGGAAGAGCCUGAUGGAGGUUUCUGGGGACUUUGGGCCAGCCGGUAACUCCAUGCUCCCUCUGCUCCACCCUUGGCCCCUCAUGUGUAUACCAUUCCUUUUAUCACCCUUCCCUCUGAUUCACAGCCCCCACCCUGACAGCUAAAGACAGAAUGCCCAGGCUGCUGCCUAGAAUGACAGGAAGCUGGACUGCCCUUUCAGUUUAUACAUGCAAUGGCCUGGGACUGUCUCUUGAGGGCAAGACAUUCCCCUUUUACAAAAGAGCCUUCCCCAGGCCCCUCUCUCACCAAGAUGAGCUCUUCCUUGCUGCCAGGAGCCCUGAAAUCAGCAUUCCCAGAGGAAAGAAGAUGGCCAUCUGGGCUUGGCUUCCGGCUCCCCCCAUCUGGCUGGAACACACAUCAGUCACGUAAGUAGCUGUGACUCAGCACCCAGCACUGCCUUGGCAGAACCUUCCCACGUUCUGGAUUUGCACACACUGUGGUAGCGCAGCACAAGCAAGCAGGGUUAGGUAACUGGGGACCAGUGUCUGUUUGUUCAGUGGGUUUGCCUAUGGAUUUCAGAAAGAAGGAUUCCCUCACCUUCCCAUUUUCCUCCCAUGUUAUUUUUUAGGUACCAUGCUAGGCUUUAAAGACAAAGCAUCAUUUAUAGAAUGAAGUAGAAGCUGUCUUUGCAGUCUCCAAACUAUUUUUAACCAACAGCCUAUAGAUGGUAUUUAACCCUCAGGUGUGUUUGGCCUGCACGGGUUUUUGUUUUUGUUUGAGACAGGGUUUCACUCUGUAGCCCAGGCUGGAGUGCAGUGGCACGAUAUCAGCUUGCUGCAACCUCUGCCUCCCGGGCUCGAGCAGUUCUCAUGCCUCAGCCUCCUGAGUAGCUGGGACUACAGGUGCCACCACACCUGGCUAGGGUUAUUUUAAUGUAUCUGAUUUUGCAUGCAUUUAGACAAAAUAUGGCCUCUCCAGUUCACUGUAUUUCUGCUGCAUGCUGUUGCUGCUUCUCUGUCUCAGGUUUCCUGCCCAAGCCCUCCGAGCAUUUGAAUGUGCUGUGAGCAGCCUACCUCAGCCUCCUCUCUUUACACAUGAAGACACUGAGGCCCAUUCAGGGCAAGUGGCAGGUCCCUGUUCUCAGAGUUGGGGCCAAGCAGGUAUUAAAACCAUUGUGUUCUGAUUCACUGUGUGCCCAAGCAGAUUAAUGCCCUGGUGUGAGGUCGAGAAGCCUCCAGGUAGAAUGUGGGGACAGAAGUGGACCAGGCUAGAGUAUAGCUCCCACACCUUUCCCAUGCGUGGCAGCACUCGUAAGACUGACAUGCCCACCCUUCUGGAUGGGUGGUUUUCCUCCCCAGACAGCCCUGCCAACCCUUUCACCUUCAGCCAGUUUGUUUGGAGUCAUUAGGCUGAGGUGGGUAAAACCCAUCACCCUCCUUGGAUGGCAGAGCUCUCAGCAGGCUGGGAUUUUCAUGGGCUGCCUUCUUACAGGUCUAGGUGGCCUUCAGGCAUGGUGCCAGGGAAAGCAAGCCCCUUCCAGCCCUUACCAAACUAACUGGCUGCUUCCUAGUAGGGAACAGCCACCAGCUUGUUUCAGCGAAGAGUCAUUGCUCAGCUGAUUCUGAGAGGAGAAAACUGGUUCUGUUGGGAGGGCUGAGACCUGAAGGACCCCUUUUAUCCAGUGGAAUUGGAAAGGCAAAGGAUUUCAAUACUAACAUGAUUUUUUUCUCCACUUCUUUUAGAGUGUUUAAUUAAAGUGAUGCAUUGUUAAUGGCUUCUUAUCUCUUCUUCCAGAGAGUAAAGAGUUAAAUUUUAGAAUCCAGGAGUGGGGACCCAGACUGUGGCUUCUGUUAACUCCCUCAGUGGCAGUGGCGUCCUGCUAUGCACAGCCCCUCUGCUGUACUCCGAAUGGUCCCUUACGGGUAGCAGGAGAGACAUUAAAUAAUCACACUGAUGACCAAGUGAGAUAAGUGGUUUUUGAAGGAAAGAACUUGAGGCUGGCGAGGACCACUUAACCUUCUAGCAAGGGCUGGACUCAGGGAGGCUUUCCUGAGCUGCGGGGAGGAUGACAGGUUCCCUGGAGUGGUGGUGGGUGGGGGCGGGGCUGAGGGGUGGUAGCCAAGGGAGGGUGAAGGAGAGUAUUCCAGAAGAGACAACAGCUUAGGCAGGCAGGACCUCGCCAUGGAGGAAGGUGCUUUCUGAUCACUGCGGGACACCUGUGUGAUAGCUCAUAGGGAGGGGGUACUGGUAACUAAAAGUUGAUAAGGAAGAGUGGCUAAAAUGAAAAGCAGAAAAGUGAGAAUCUCAUCAAAUCCCCUCAUUUGACAGGAUUUGGACUCCCAGUAGUAACUGUCCUUAAACACUCACUCCUGACCUUACAACCCUGGCUGUUACCUGGUUAACAAGCCCCAGGUGUUGGCUACAGGUGUCAUCACUGAGAGCCCUUGUGUGCAGAUCUGCCCCAGCUCUCCCACCUGUGACUGAGGCUAGCAAGUCCCCCGUGGGCUGUAGAGCCUAGCGCUGGUGUCAGAAUCGCUUGUUGCAGGUUCAUCUUCAGUGUCUUUCCCACAGCCACAUGCUGGGGAAAGACGGCAAAGGCGCUAGAGGAGCAGGAGAACAAAGCAAGCUGCCCCAGACCACCCGGCUUUCGCAGAACCCAGAUGAUGCUCCUGUCUCCCCCUAAGUAUAACGUGUUAUGUAGUCAGUAUGAUCCCAUUCAGUGCAGAAGUAUCGCCUAGGAAUUUCCUGCCCCACCCACCCUGUUUUGUUCUUAAUGAAGUUCAAGAACAAAAUGAGAUGAUAGUCAAGUUAUGGAGCAGGCUGCAGUGGAUACAAGGGCAGAAACACAGUCUUUGGAGUUAGACCUGGGAUCUGCAUUGAUUGGUUGUGUGACUGCAGACAAGUUAUUUAGCCUCAUUAAGGAUGAAUUUCUUCGCAAAAAUUGGAAUAAUACCUGCCCCAUACGACUGUUGUGAGAAUUAAACACCGCAACUUUUGAUGUUCAAAUUCUAUUUCUUCUCCUUCUAGCAACACAUACUGUUAGUGCCAGGAACCAUAAAAAUUAUAAGGCUGUAUCUAGAGGCCUGAAAGGAAGCUAAAAUAUACAGUGUCUACUCUGUCUCUUUUCUCUUGGUUAUGGUAUCAGAGGAAAUACACAUAUUUUCUUAGCUUCAAACCACCAAAAAAGAUGAUGCAGUAAGGAGAUGGGAAAUCUAAUUUGGAAUACAGUGUGCAAAUCUUAUUUUCAAGCAGACUUUGAAAAUAAAACUCAAUUCUUACGUUAGAGGAUUAUCUGCUUAAUACAAUUAUAGGGUACCAGUUUUUGAAGUCACAUCGGGGUUAAAUAAGAUUGCAGGUUCAUGGGGUCAUAUUUGAAUGUUCUGAUACUUACAUAUGGGGUGGGAAGGAGGAAUGCAUGCUUUUCUCAAGUUAAGACACAUAAAAGAGUUGUCCUGGCCCAGGUGAGACUCGCCUUUGUGUAGCAGCUGGAGCUUCAUUCCACAGGCAGAUAGGGUGCUUGUGUCCUGAUGAAGUAAGAGAAUAUAUCUGGAAACACUUUGUGUACUGUGAAAUACUAUACAAAUGCAGGGCAGUACAAAUGUAAAUAUUAAUGUAUUUUAGUAAUAAUUUUAGCUUUUAUUUCAUCAUAUAUAAUAAUUUGUAGUGACUGGUGUGAAGUUAAAUAGAAUUAACCUAGAAUUAAUGAGUUUUGUAUUGCUCUCAUCUAUUUGAAGCAUCAGCUGUGCCUUUCAUGUUGCCUUGUGCAGCCCUGUGUAACCUCCUCUGUGCCUUUCCCAUGGAGCACUGUGUCAUAUCACAAGUAGAACUACAAGAAGAUAUUUCUCCUCAGGGCAGAGGCUGGGUCUUCCGAUUGAAUCUCCCUUCUUUCUUCAUUGAGAUCCUCUUCUUCUGGAAGCUGGUUUCACAUGGUGGCUUAGAUUUUUCCAUCUUUGUAUCUAGCACCAUUUGAAAUCAGUGUUUUAGGAGUAAGAAUUGCAGCACAGCCAAGGGUGGACUGCAGAGGAACUGCUGCUCAUGGAACUGGCUCCUCUCCUCUUGCCACUUGAGUCUGUUCGAGAAGUCCAGGGAAGAACUUGAAGAGCAAAAUACACUCUUGAGUUUGUUGGGUUUUGGGAGAGGUGACAGUAGAGAAGGGGGUUGUGUUUAAAAUAAACACAGUGGCUUGAGCAGGGGCAGAGGUUGUGAUGCUAUUUCUGUUGACUCCUAGCAGCCAUCACCAGCAUGAAUGUGUUCGUAGGGCCUUUGAGUGUGGCGAUUGUCAUAUUCUGUUGGAUAACAAUGUAUUGGGUGUCGAUUGUCAUGGGGCAGGGGAGAGGGCAGUACACCUGGAGGACCAUUUUGUCCACAUCGACACCAUCAGUCUGCUCUUAGAGGAUGCCCUGGAGUAUUCGGCGUUGAUUGCGGGGCACCCGAAAUCAGACUUGCCACCUGGACUGUCGAGGUGCAGACCCUGGGAGCACCACUGGCCCAUCUCUUACACAGGCUGACCGAUUUCUCCUGGUGUUCAGAGUCUGUUUUUGUCUAGCACCAUUUGAAAUCGGUUAUGAUGUAGGGGGAAAAGCAGCAGCCUCGAAGCCUCAUGCCAACUCUGGGCAGCAGCAGCCUGUGGUUUCCUGGAAGAUGGAUGGGCAGAGAAUAGGGAAGGAAGAUCAUGCUUUUCCCUACUAACUUCUGUAACUGCAUGUAUGAUACAUUAUUGCAGAGGUAAGAGAUAGUUUAAUGGAUUUUUAAAAACAAAUUACUAUAAUUUAUCUGAUGUUCUCUAGUUGCAUUUUGCUGAAAUGUAGUGCUGUUCUAAAUUCUGUAAAUUGAUUGCUGUUGAAUUAUCUUUCUGUUGAGAAGAGUCUAUUCAUGCAUCCUGACCUUAAUAAAUACUAUGUUCAGUUUAUCAUGUCUGUGUUUUUCAUCUAUUAUUUCCCAUUCAUAAUUCUGUGAUGAUAAGAAGUGGGUCCUGAAAAAUUAAUUGGCUGUGCAGAUCUUGCCUACUUCAUAAAGAAUUUGAAGUAGGUUACAGCCAGCCAGACAUUAAAAAUGAAGCCCAUUAAGAGAAGAAUGAAAUUCUAUGAGCCAAGAAAUAAAAUGAGAGAAAAGAUUAGGGAAGAGAAGAAAUGUUGAAGAUCAAGGCUGAGGGAUGCUCCCUACUGAAUGGGAAAACUCCUUAGUUCCACAUGGGCUGUAGACACAGCCCUUCUGCCAGCAACUGUUCCUGCAAGGAACUGGUGCUCAACUAAACAUACUGUCACAUGGUUCCUUGAAGGGGCACAGCACUGAUUUCACUUGCAUUAUAAAAGAUUGAGUGGUGCUUUUGACUAUUAGUUUAUGUCAACACUUCAAAACAAGAUGAGCCAGUUUUUUUUUGUUUUUUUUUUUUGUUUGUUUGUUUGUUUUAGACGGAGUCUCACCCUGUCACCCAGGCUGGAGUGCAAUGGCACUGUCCCCGCUCACUGCAACCUCCGCCUCCCGGGUUCAAGCAAUUCUGCCUCAGCCUUCCGAGUAGCUGGGAUUACAGGCGUGGCACCUCCACGCCCAGCUAAUUUCUGUAUUUUGUAGUAGAGACGGGGUUUCAUCAUGUUGGCCAGGCUUGUCUCGAACUGCUGACCCCGUGAUCCACCCACCUCAGCCUCCCAAAGUGCUGGGAUUACAGGCGUGAACCACCUCGCCUGGCCCAGUGAGCCAGUUUUGUAAAGCUAUUCAGAGAUUAGCCAGAUUUGAUUUGAUAGGGGAUCAAGCUUGUAGGAUCUUCAGGAAGGCGGGCUGUGGCCCCUUGAUCAGGCUUUUUGCACAGGAGGUGCAUGACUAUGAACUACCCUCAGUAGAACUCUUUUAAGCCAGUGGCUUGCAAUAAAUGAUGGCAAAUCAGCCACCUAGGAAGCCAUUUCUAAGCCCAACCCCCUGCCACAGUCUUCCUCUAGAUGGCUGCCCUGCCCAGUGGGCUGAGAGUGGGGGGCGGAAGUAGCAUUUGCUGGGAAGACUUGCCAGUACAUAUGUUGCACCCCCUCACUGCAGCUGCAGUGCUAUUUCAGGCUGUUGAUGGAAGAACCCAUGUUCUAAUCCCCAGGAUGUGGUGGGAAGACCCUAAGUGGUGGUGUUAGUUAAGACCCUAAGUUAUAUUGUUUUGUUCACUUCCCACUGAGAUAGGCUACAAUAGUAUUAAAUACCUAUAGGUCAGACAUUUUUGGGGUCUGUUGUACUACCUACCAAUUAAACAGUUUUUGAUCCGCCCACCACGCUCAAAGCUCCAGCCUAGGUGUUGCAAAUACAGACGACAGAUUUUUGCUCUCAGGAGGCCCUGAUUCCAGUCCUCAAACGAGGCUGUCCGUCUCCCAGAUGCUGCUCUUCAGGGCUCCUGGCGCCAGUGCUGAGGUGACAGAGC
rnacentral:lncRNA from 1 species